rnacentral:tRNA from 1 species
GUAUUAGUAGCUCAGAAUCAGAGCGUCG